rnacentral:SRP_RNA from 1 species
GCCGGGUGUGGUGGUGCAUGCCUGUAAUCCCAGCUAACCAGGAGGCUGAGGCAGGAGAAUUGCUGGAACCUGGGAGGCGGAGGCUGCAGUGAGCUGAGAUUGUGCCACUGCACUCCAGCCUGGGUGACAGAGCAAGAUUCUGUCUCAA